AGAGAUCAUGGCUCAGAUUGAACGCUGGCGGAAUGCUUUACACAUGCAAGUCGAACGGCAGCACGGGGGCAACCCUGGUGGCGAGUGGCGAACGGGUGAGUAAUACAUCGGAACGUGCCCAGUCGUGGGGGAUAACUACGCGAAAGCGUAGCUAAUACCGCAUACGAUCUACGGAUGAAAGCGGGGGAUCGCAAGACCUCGCGCGAUUGGAGCGGCCGAUGGCAGAUUAGGUAGUUGGUGGGGUAAAGGCUCACCAAGCCGACGAUCUGUAGCUGGUCUGAGAGGACGACCAGCCACACUGGGACUGAGACACGGCCCAGACUCCUACGGGAGGCAGCAGUGGGGAAUUUUGGACAAUGGGCGCAAGCCUGAUCCAGCCAUUCCGCGUGCAGGAUGAAGGCCCUCGGGUUGUAAACUGCUUUUGGACGGAACGAAAAGCCUUCUUCUAAUACAAGAAGGUCAUGACGGUACCGUCAGAAUAAGCACCGGCUAACUACGUGCCACCAGCCGCGGUAAUACGUAGGGUGCAAGCGUUAAUCGGAAUUACUGGGCGUAAAGCGUGCGCAGGCGGUUAUGUAAGACAGAUGUGAAAUCCCCGGGCUCAACCUGGGAACUGCAUUUGUGACUGCAUGCCUAGAGUACGGUAGAGGGGGAUGGAAUUCCGCGUGUAGCAUUGAAAUGCGUAGAUAUGCGGAGGAACACCGAUGGCGAAGGCAAUCCCCUGGACCUGUACUGACGCUCAUGCACGAAAGCGUGGGGAGCAAAC
rnacentral:rRNA from 1 species